rnacentral:lncRNA from 1 species
ACGUCAGGUCAGCUUGGAUUGUACUGAAGGCAAGCAAGAACUAUUCAAGAACUCAUUCUGCUUCUUUGUACUGCCACACCUUGUAAAUCCUCCGUUUGUUAGCUACGUCAUUCCAGCCGGAUCAUGGAUGGAGUAAAAAUCAUGGCCAAGUAUGAACUUCAAAAGCAUACCUUGGAGCAAUUACAAGAGCCAGGCAAGAAGGAGGCUUAGGAUUGAGUGACUGGAUUCCCUUUAUAUAAGUAGACUAUCAUACAGUCAUCAGCCAGAAGAACUAAAUGAGCUCAUGAAACAUGGAAAUUAGACUAAUGCAUCAGGGACCAGUUCCAUGACGAGAUCAGAGAGAUGUUUGGUUGUCCCACACAGAUCUUAGGUCAGCCAGCAACAUCUUCCCGAUCAGACCACUAACUCAAAACUCAGCAAGCUUGGAGGAAUAGUUUGAGAA